GGUUUUGUAGUGUAGCGGUCAUCACUCCGGAUUCUGAUGAUAUCGGAUUAUUCCGGCAACCCCGGUUCGAAUCCGGGCAAGACCU